rnacentral:rRNA from 1 species
AGCUUGUUGGCAGGGUAAAAGCCUACCAAGGCGAUGACGGGUAGCUGGUGUGAGAGCAUGACCAGCCGCGAUGGGACUGAGACACGGCCCAUACUCCUACGGGAGGCAGCAGUAGGGAAUCUUCCGCAAUGGGCGAAAGCCUGACGGAGCGACACCGCGUGAAGGAUGAAGGCCCUCGGGUUGUAAACUUCUUUUCUGAGGGAAGAAAAUUUGACGGUACCUCAGGAAUAAGCCCCGGCUAAUUACGUGCCAGCAGCCGCGGUAAUACGUAAGGGGCAAGCGUUAUCCGGAAUUAUUGGGCGUAAAGCGUCUACAGGCGGCGCAAUAAGUCUGUCAUUAAAUACCGGUGCUCAACAUCGGUGCUGUGAUAGAAACUAUUGUGCUAGAGGAAGGGAGAGGCAUAUGGAAUUCUGCAAGUAGGGGUAAAAUCCGUAGAUAUGCAGAGGAACACCAAAAGCGAAGGCAGUAUGCUGACCUUUCCUGACGCUCAAAGACGAAAGCGUGGGGAGCGAAACGGAUUAGAUACCCGUGUAGUCCACGCUGUAAACGAUGCGUGCUCGGUGUGGGGACCCUCGACCUGGUCUCCGUGCCUAAGGUAACCUGUUAAGCACGCCGCCUGUGUAGUACGAUCGCAAGAUUAAAACACAAAGGAAUAGACGGGGACCCACACAAGCGGUGGAUCGCGGGGUUUAAUUCGUUAAUAAGCGAGUAACCUUACCCAGGCUUGACAUCUCUAUCGCACUCUGUGGAAACACGGAGGUCAGUUCGGCUGGAUAGAUGACAGGCGCUGCAUGGUUGCCGUCAGCUCGUGCCUUGAGGUGUUCGGUUAAGUCCGUAAACGAGCGCAACCCUCGCCGUAUGUUGUAUUUUCAUACGGGACUGCCGAUUCAAAGUCGGAGGAAGGUGAGGAUGACGUCAAAUCAGCAUGGCCCUUAUGCCUGGGGCUACACCCACGAUACAAUGGCCGGUACAAACCGAAGCAAAGCGGCAACGCAGAGCCAAUCGGAUUCAAAACCGGUCUCAGUUCGGAUUGGAGUCUGCAACUCGACUCCAUGAAGUUGGAAUCGCUAGUAACUGUAUAUCAGUCACGGUACGGUGAAUAUGUUCCUGGGUCUUGUACUCACCGCCCGUCAAGGCAUGGGAGCUGGGGGCACCCAAAAGCUGCUCAAUAAGAGUGGUCUAAGGUGAAACCAGUGACUGGGCUUAAGUCGUAACAAGGUAUCCGUACGGGAAUGUGCGGAUG